rnacentral:siRNA from 1 species
AUGAGGUGACAAUCAACAGAUCAG